rnacentral:tRNA from 2 species
GCACCUAUAGCUCAGCAGGAUAGAGCGACCGCCUCCUAAGCGGUAGGCCACAGGUUCGAAUCCUGUUAGGUGCGCCA